GAUAGCUCAGUUGGCUAGAGUGUGGUGCUGAUAACACCAAGUUCACAGGUUCGAUCCCCUUACA